rnacentral:lncRNA from 1 species
GUUGGCUCUGGUUCUUCUGGUGUCCAGUGCGAGUGAGGGACGGAUUCUCAGUAAAUGUGAGCUGAAGUCCCAGCUCCAGGCAGCUCUGGGAGGAAAGGUGCCUGGAACUGUCACUAAUAGGCCUGUAGAUGUGACUGCAGUUGUGCCUGAAAAUGUGACUUCAAGUGUGCCUGGAAAUACAACUGCAAAUUUGACCCUCAUCGCCCAAAUCGUUUGUACUGUGGAGCGUGUGUCGAAGUUCAACACCGGCCUGGUCACCACCAUCCGAGAGGACUCCAGACCUCCAGUGAGACCCCCAGUGAGACCCCCAGUGAGACCACCACAACGACCCAAUGAAAGACCAGGCGGAAGACCCGGUCGUCCCGGUGGAAGACCAAGGGGAAAGAGAUCCCACGUUGCGGCACAACUCAGGCGCCCAGCUAGAUUGUCUGAUGACAGUUCUGAGAGUUCCGAGGAGAAUUCCAGAGAACGGCAGGGUCUCGCCACAAAACUGUUUGGAAUCUUCCAGCUGAGCGACCGCGUGGCCUGCGAUUCCGGAUCCGGCAAGAGUUUGAACAUCUGCCGCGUGAAAUGCAGCGCUCUGAUUGAUGAUGACAUCAGGGAUGACAUCACAUGCCUUAAGACCCUGCUGGACAGCACAAGAAAUGCCACUGUUUCAGCCUUCGCUUCUCUGCCCAAGAAAAAGCCAUACAUAAUUCUUUCUGUGAACGAGUGCCGCAAUGUCAAUCCUGCGCAGUACUUUGCUGAGUGUCCCUGAAACAUUCAGCAUUUCUUCAGCGUACCUGGAAGAUGUUCUCAAAAUAGCCACAGUUAUGCUGCAUGUAUCUCAUACAUGCAUACCUCAGAAUGC